UUGAUCCUUCAUGCUAUCUUUCUUUGUUUUGGGAAGAUGUAUGGGUGGUAGAGAAAUCUUUUUUGCUUACAGUUUCCUUGUCUUUUUGGGGUUGCUGUUGACAAAGGGAAUUUGUGGGUGAUAGUUGGGGUAGUAUUUGGUCUUGGAAGAGCAUUUAUAGAAGAAAUUCAAGUAGGCUAAAGAGCAUUUAUAGAAGAAAUUCAUGUAGGGAUGCUUGCUACCAAGAGAAAAAGAUCCUUCAUUUAUGAUAUGAAAUCUGAUCAAGAGAAGGCUUUAGUUGGAGACAUCCAAUGAACAUAUUUGAUCAAUGGUGGACGAAAAAAUCUUGUCAGGUCAUGGUUCGUUGUUGUUUUGCUUUGAUUUUACACGCUAGUUAUAUCAUGAGGGAGCUCAUUAUGUUUCCUCUUUGAUUUCUUUGUUAAUGGUGUUUACAUUUUGUCCAGAUUCUAAUUUCUAGGGAUGUUCGUUUGUGGAGCAUAAUCCUUCUAACAGCUUUUUCUCCGGCUGUUCUUUUUCCUCUUAUGUGGUUCUCCUUUUCCUAGAUUUUUCUUAUUUUAUUUGCUUUGGAAGGUGAGAUUGUUUACCUAGGAAGUCAUGCAUGGGAAGAUUGACAUUAUUGAUUCAAUGCAGAAGGCUUCCUCUAUAUUUUCGGGAUUGGAGUGGUGUGUUUUACGUAAAGGUUCCUCAAAGAGUUUGAAUCACUUGUCAUGGAGUUAUAGCUUUGCAUCCUUGCUUGUGAUGUGUUUAUGGAGUUCUUCGGUGUUUCUUUGGUACACAAAAGAUCCUAUUGAUUAAUGGUGUAGGGGUUGUGCUCCACUCUCCAUAUAUAGAUAUGGAAAAGUUUUGUGGUAGACCAUCUAUUUGGCCAUUUUGUGAAAUAUUUGGUUUGAGAGAAACAGUUGGGCUUAUGUACAAAAAGAGUUUGGGCGGGCUUACUGACUUCCUAUGAAGGUGGAUGGUCUCUGUCUCCGAUAUUAAACUCCUUGCAAGUUUUGCCUCUUUUAAUUCUUUUUGGAUGGUUGUGCAACGCAUGGUCUCUUGAUGGUGUACAAAUUACACCAAAUUCUUUUGUAUUUAUGGUCUUUCCAUGUUUUUUAACAACCGGAAGCACUUAUUCAGUUGUCUUUUUGGGUGGGUGAGUAGGUGGGGGGAAUUUGCAACCGCUUGCCAUUAGGUUGUUCUCUCUUUUGUCUUGCUUGAAAUAUAUACAUCUGUUUCCUAUCAAAAAAAGAAAAAAAGAAA